GGAAGAGCAUAAGUAAUGGGCAGAAGGAGAGAGGAAGAAGAGAAUAUUCUCCUGGUUGUCUGAUGGAGUCAUCAAUUUCCACGUCAAAGAGGAGAAAGAGUAGCAUCCUGGGAAGCCAGACGAAGACACCAUAAAGGAGGCUUAGCCUGUAUAUCCUUUAACUAGCUCGAAAGAUUAUCUCCCAGAGAUAUGGUGUGCACAUUGAAGAGUGUGGCAACAGGGUAGUUAGGUAUCAAUGUGGCAUUUUUGACCACUCCCUUAAGGUGAAGGCCGGAAGCACAGAUUCAUUUUCACAUGGCAAGUGCAUCACGUUGCGACAUUCUUCUGAGUGCGAUGUGUUCGUCUGUUCUCACGGGUUUAUUUUUGUACUUUACAACGUAAAUUUGUUUUAUAUGCUUCAUAUCUAUUUCAAGAUCAAAUCCAAUUUGGUCCCAAGGAGUCUAAGUACAGGAACCUCUCCUGUGUUGGGUAGUUGUGGGUACUGGUCUGAUGUUAGCCUCAUCUGCUAAACUGUCUUCUUUCAACACAACUUGUGUCCUGGUGUGGGGCUUCCCACACUGUUCAGCUCAGCCUGGAAAAAUCACUGCUGUACAGGCACAUCACACCAGGAGCGUCUCUGGUAAGGGACCCUUACAUUCAUUCAUUCCUCCCCUUCACUCUGUGAGGAUGUACACGACCUCUGUCGGUUUUUGUCUGUUCCUUGCUUUGUGCUACCAGUACAUGCCAAAUCAAUUCUUGCAGUUGACAGUGGGGGGGAAGCUAAUUUAGGGUGGACAGAAGUGUAACAAACGGAGAAAGGAGGUUCAAUUUGCCUGCCUGCCUUCCUUCUUUCUUUUUAAUUGUUUAUCCCCUCGUGAAGGGACUGUCUAGCAUUGUAGUACAUCAAUGAUCCUUGUGACCUGGGGCAGACUUUGAAUCACUGAAACAACAAAGGGCAAAAUACAUUUCCUGCCCUGGCACUAUUACUUUAUACCCUGUAUGGAUGUACUUUACUUAUUAACCCAAGGUAAAACUGCACUACGGUGAGUUUCACUUUGACUCAGUACCAGCCAUCGAGUGCAGAUUGUUUGCAGAGGAGAAACUGCCAUUUCUAUUGCUGGCCAAUAAAAUACUGUGCUAUUUAGAAAAGGCAGUUGAGUGCUUAGAAAGCAUCAGGGUAAGCCUAUUAAAUAAAACAAUGGGUGGUGGUUGUUUAUGCAGAUGCCCAAAAUGAUCUGGAAAUGGGUUUAACUAAAUCAAAGAUAACACGUUAGACUUUACGUAACCUGUUUGGAAACAUAAUGUUAGUCACUUAAAAGAUCCCUUUUCCUCUGCUAUUCUUAAAGCGUUGCCGAGUCCUGAGUGUCCAGGGGGUGAGUGAGCAAGUUGUGUGACCCAGCCCCUGCAGACCACAGGUGACGUCUGUUCCAGCACACCUGGCCAGGAACCGGUCGUCUCCAUUCCUUCCAUCGCCACCAUUUAAGCUAAUUCCAACUGGUUUCACUUGUUGGCCCACGCUCCCUUGGCUCAGGGGUCAGCCUCGGUGACAGUAUGUGCUUAGCAGAGGUGUUCUGUAUUUUGACUGAUACAUAGCUGAAUCAAGUCCUUCCCUGGUGAGUGGUUCUGCAAAGCUGAAGAGGAGGAAUGUAACCGAUUCCUCGAUGAAAAGCUGCAGCAAAUAGGUGAACCGCUGCUGCUCCGAAGCCGCCCUGCUUCCCAAGCACAUGGGCAGAUUCUGUGCAUGCAGUCUUCUGGGUGGGGAGGACCACGAGUACACGUGUACUGUAGGAAAUGAGUGAGGAGGGAGUGUUGUUCUGCAGCAUCGCUGGGGACGAUGACUAUUACUGGCCAGGCUGGGGGAGGUCGUGCUGGAGUGCUUACUCAGCUGCAGUGUUGCAACGGAGGCAAUUGUAUGUUUCUAGCAGGGCAUUACAGGGGCUUGCUCAUUCCUAAUUGCUCUCUUAUCUGACUUGGUGGCCACGGCAAUCCAAACUGUAUUGAGCAAAGCACAUAAACAGUUUCGUCUAGCUUCAUUAUGAAGGUAGGAAUACUUGCUUAAUUUUCAGUGGAUUGUGCUGUUGCUCUGGCAUUAGUAAUGCUGACAGAGUUUAUUUGCCAGGAUUCGGGAAGAGCAGUGCUAUAAGCACACAGCCUAAUUGUGAUCAUUAUGCACACUAUUUAGCAGUUAUGAUAUGACAGUGCAAAUAUUGCUCGUGGUUUUGCUGAUUCACAAUGAAAUUCUCAAUAUUUGUUCAAAGCAACAUUAAUCUCAUGGUAAAUUGAGGAACAGAGUACUUCAGUUUGCUCUCUUUCCCCGCUCCUGCCUUUAAAUACAAAGAAAAGCUGCUGUCAGUGUAUUAAGGUUGUUAGAGGCCAAAAGCUGGCCCCUCACUUUGGGAACAGCCACUCAUUAUACCUUUAUAGUCAGUUUUAUUUGGUUUGCUAACAGGCUGACCUGGAACAGGUUUAUCAAUGUGGAGUGUCAAAUCCAGCGCAUAAAGCUGUGCUCCUGCUGCUGUACGAUGUACAGCACGUUAAGACCGAGGCCAUCUGUACAGGGAUCUCUGUGCGUUUGCUGUGAGGUUGAUCCCACCAGGCAACAACCUGCACUCCCCAGCCCCUCUCACCAAGCAGUGCAGCACUCUGUCCUGGCUGUACUUCAGCCUGCAGCCUUGUUCAGGCUGUGGGUUGCUGUGGCUUCGCUCUCUAGCUGGGCAGGAGUAUUUCACAAAGCACUGAGCAGAGCCCGGUGAGGUACCUCCUGCUUACCAAGUUGUUCCAUACCAUUCUAAGUAAAAUUAGCACCUAUGUCAGUGUGACUGAUUUGCACUGGACACGUUGGAACAAAACUUUAUACUGCUAUGUUGUCCAUCAGGUCACAGUUAAAUUAAUGAGUGCUGUGAGAGCUUUUCUGGUUUGUACAAAUAAAUUCCCGAGCUGAAGGCACUACUUGCCAGACUUUGCUGACAAGCUUCAUAUUAGGGUAGAUCUGGCCUAGGAUCUCCCAUGAGACAGUGUCCCUCUUUUCUUACUUUCAGACACUAACAGAGCUCCAGCAUCUAAAUCUGUUCGUAUUUACUCCUCCUGCCCCAACCCUAUUCCUGCAACAACACCCUGACCUGAGCCCCCUGCAGUAUCCAAAACCCUGUGGCCAAGGGGCUCCCUGCCUAAGGUCAAAGGACUGCUGCUGUUUCAAACAUAUCCUCUCGCCACGUUUACAGCUUCACUACAGGUAGCUGUGUGUGUGAACAAUUGCCAUAGAUCCAAAGGGUUGUUUCCCUCUGUGGCUGUACCCAGGGACAGUCUAAGCCCCUGCAGAAGAGGUGAGCCCUGCCUCUUUCCCACCCUCUUCUCCCCUGCUCAGCCUUGUUGCAAGAUAGCUCCCGUCAUUAAGUGCUGUUUAAGGCUUUACCAGCAGUGACUUUUUCCAGCCAAGUCCUUGAGAAGGAAGAAUACCUCUUAGCCGUAAGCCUGCUGAUUUAUUGCUGAAUGAGAUUAUUGCUUUAAGUGAAACCGCGUGAAGCAAAAGGCAUAGAAAGGAUUUAGGCUGCACCUGGCUACAGCAGACAGCAUUAAAGGGAGCUUAGUUAUCACAGUUAUUCCCUUUGCUCUUCCUUCCAGGCAAGGGAAACGUUGAUUUGUUCUGGGACUGGGAGAGUUUGCUGGCUAGGAAGGUGAAUGGCUCAAGCAGUGUUUUCCGAUCUGUCACGGUCACUUCCCACAGUCUCACUUUUUCAGCCCUUGCCCAUUGCUGCGCUGCUUCUGUCUCCACUUGUCUUUGCUCCAGGAGGUCCAUUUUGUUUCCCAAGACGAUGACUGUUACCUCCUUUUUGUCUCUGAAGAUAUCAAUCUCUUUUUUGAGCUGUU
rnacentral:lncRNA from 1 species